CGACCUCCAUGAAGUUGGAUUCGCUAGUAAUCGCGCAUCAGCCAUGGCGCGGUGAAUACGUUCCCGGGCCUUGUACACACCGCCCGUCACACCAUGGGAGUUGGUAACGCCCGAAGCCAGUGACCCAACCGGAAACGGAGGGAGCUGUCGAAGGUGGGACCGAUAACUGGGGUGAAGUCGUAACAAGGUAAC
rnacentral:rRNA from 1 species